GGGCGAUUAGCUCAGUUGGUCUAGAGCGUCUGGUUUACACCCAGAAGGUCACAGGUUCGACCCCUGUAUCGCCCACCA
rnacentral:tRNA from 2 species